rnacentral:tRNA from 1 species
GGCCCAAUGGUCUAGUGGUACGAUGCUCGCUUUGGGUUCAUGCUUCGGCUUAACACUUUGCGAGCGGUCCUGGGUUCGAACCCCAGUUGGGCCC